AAUCAACGCUGGCGGCGUGCCUAACACAUGCAAGUCGCACGAGAAAGUGGAGCAAUCCAUGAGUAAAGUGGCGCACGGGUGAGUAACACGUGAAUAAUCUACCUCCGAGUGGGGAAUAACUUAGGGAAACCUGAGCUAAUACCGCAUAACACUUACGAGUCAAAGCAGCAAUGCGCUUGGAGAGGAGUUCGCGGCAGAUUAGCUAGUUGGCGGGGUAAUGGCCCACCAAGGCGAUGAUCUGUAUCCGGCCUGAGAGGGCGCACGGACACACUGGAACUGAAACACGGUCCAGACUCCUACGGGAGGCAGCAGUGGGGAAUUUUGCGCAAUGGGGGAAACCCUGACGCAGCAACGCCGCGUGGAGGAUGAAAUCCCUUGGGAUGUAAACUCCUUUCGAUCGGGACGAU
rnacentral:rRNA from 1 species